UUGACCUCUGACCUCAAAUCA
rnacentral:rRNA from 1 species